rnacentral:rRNA from 1 species
GUGGCUAAGCUACUAAGAGCAAACGGUGGAUGCCUUGGUGUCAAGUGAAGAAGAAAGACGUGGAAAGCUGCGAUAAGCCUCGGUAAGGAGCUAAACAUCCUUUGACCCGGGGAUUUCUGAAUGGGGCAACCCGGCACGGUUAAUGCCGUGUCAU